rnacentral:rRNA from 1 species
CAAUAGCGUAUAUUUAAGUUGUUGCAGUUAAAAAGCUCGUAGUCGGAUUUUGGCUGAGAACGAUCGGUCCGCCGUUAGGUGUGCACUGAUUGGUCUCAGCUUCCUGGUGAGGAGGUGUGCUUCACGGCCACUUAGUCACCGUGGUUACUUUGAAAAAAUUAGAGUGUUCAAAGCGGGCUUACGCUUGAAUAUAUUAGCAUGGAAUAACACCAUAGGACUCCUGUCCUAUUUCGUUGGUCUCGGGACGGGAGUAAUGAUUAAGAGGAACAGUUGGGGGCAUUCGUAUUUCAUUGUCAGAGGUGAAAUUCUUGGAUUUAUGAAAGACGAACUACUGCGAAAGCAUUUACCAAGGAUGUUUUCAUUAA